GACGAACGCUGGCGGCGUGCCUAAUACAUGCAAGUAGAACGCUGAAGGAGGAGCUUGCUUCUCUGGAUGAGUUGCGAACGGGUGAGUAACGCGUAGGUAACCUGCCUGGUAGCGGGGGAUAACUAUUGGAAACGAUAGCUAAUACCGCAUAAUAGUAGAUGUUGCAUGACAUUUGCUUAAAAGGUGCAAUUGCAUCACUACCAGAUGGACCUGCGUUGUAUUAGCUAGUUGGUGGGGUAACGGCUCACCAAGGCGACGAUACAUAGCCGACCUGAGAGGGUAAUCGGCCAAGCUGGGACGGAGAGACGGCCCAGACUCCUACGGGAGGCAGCAGUAGGGAAUCUUCGGCAAUGGAAGGAAGGCUGACCGAGCGACGCCGCGUGAGUGAAGAAGGUUGUCGGAUCGUAAAGCUCUGUUGUAAGAGAAGAACGAGUGUGAGAGUGGAAAGUUCACACUGUGACGGUAUCUUAACAGAAAGGGACGGCUAACUACGUG
rnacentral:rRNA from 1 species